rnacentral:lncRNA from 1 species
CAAAGAAUGAAACUGUUAUAGUGUCUGCCCUCAGAGUCUUUACUUCUAGCUAUGGAAAGAAAUACAGCAAACGUAUAAAUAUGUGCAUACGAUGAGUGUGGAUGGUGGUAAGUGCUUUGAGAAAAUAAAAUAGGGUAUUAUGACUUAGAAAAUAAAAUAGGGCAUUAUGACUUAGGGCUUAUGGAGUGGGAGGUUAGGGACAGCCUAUCCUGGGAGGUGACAUAUGAGUUGAGAUCUGUGAUGAGAAGGAACCAGCUAUGUAAGGAUUUGGGGAAGGGUGUUCCAAGCAGGAGGAAAAGCAGUUGCAAAGAGCCCACAACAGGACACAGCUAGGUCUCAGGAGCAGCUGAUGCAGCUGGUCCGGGCACCGCAUUUUGAGGCCCACAGUCCAAAGCAACCCUGACGGACACAGGAUCCAGGGUUAGGGGACCAGGCUUCAAGCUUGAUGCUGCUACAAGAGGCUGUGUGGACUCAGAUGAGAAAAUGGAGCAACAAGUUCAUGAAGAUUUAAAAUAAGGCACCUCUGAGAAUUCAAAUCUGUUACCCAGGGCCACCAUGUUGAACACUACCCGGGUUGCACAUUGUAUAACUUUCUGCUGCAUCAUCCACAUAAACUAGGAUUUAAACGGCGCCCCUUGGAUUUGUGCAUCAUGGCAGGCCAUCAUCCAUUCAAAUUAAGAACACGGAAAAGGAUACCGAUGUGUUAAACCACCAAAGAACAUUGAAAACUAGUCUAUUGUUGUAGAUGUGAUUAAGGUGUUUGUGGUGUUAAAGGUAAUACGGCUCUUAAUACUUUGCCUAGAAUUGAAAGUUGAUUUGAAGUUUUAAUAUGGCCGCUGCCCCAAAGAUGAGUCAUUGUUUUAGUUCUAUUCAUAGUGAACAUUUCGUUAUUUUGGAAAAGAACGUAGAGAAGGAAAGAGAAUCAAAGUGGGCUCUACCUCAUAGAGCUGUAAAGACUGGAUCCUUGGUACAGAGCUGUACUCAUGAUGAGCGCUCUGUAAGAAGGAGCUAGCAAAGUUAGUGUUAGCAUGACUUUUGGACUAUUCCAGAAGAUGUAAAGAGAAGAAGGUGGAUAUGAUUCUAGCAUCAAAAUAAAACAGACACGCAGAGUGUUUUCUGAGUUUAACAACCUUAACAAGUUUCUCUAUGCUCAUCUAAAGAAAUAUUGCAUGUCCUCUUCAUCCUUCUUCUUGUGCCUUCUUGCUAACUUUGUCUUUCCACCUUUGCAAUCUUUAUGCCACACACACUACCAAGAAUUACACAUACAGAUGAACAGAUACCAGCGUAAAAACACAGGAAAAGGUAAAGCUCCUUGCCUCUCAGUGACUAGAGGUGUGCCUCUAGGCCCAAGGCUGCAUGUCAUGUUGCUCACGGGCAGGUCAUGUCAGUCCAUUGACAUAUUCAUCAACUCAAUUAUUAAUUCAUUUGCCAAAUAUUUUUAAUGCCUAGUAUAUGCCAUUCCAGUCUCUGAGGAUGUGAUGACAAAUAUGACACAGUCCUUGUCCUUAAGGUGUCCCUAUUAAGUGAAUGAGUUUACAUAAAAACUCUAUAUUUUAUGAAUGGAGAUACAUCAGUAUUCUAGAAAGAAGAUGCAGUAUGUCCCCAUAGUGGCAUCCUUCCACCUAUCCCCCAAAAACCUCUUGACGUAUAUAUCAAAGCAAAAAUAUAUUAAUCAGUAUUUUAGUUGUUUAUUGUAUAAGCACACAUAUUGCCUCUCUCUCAUAUCCUUGUCAUGGAUUAGAAUGACAAGGCUUAAAGCCCAUGGGCUCCAGGUAACUCUCCCCUACCCCCAACUUUCCCUUCAGUCUGCUCUACCUGUUGUGUAGAGUUAGUCUUUCCUAGAGGGUCAUUUAGCCAGAACUCCUGUUUAGAGGAAUGCUGAAAAGAAGGGUAGCAUCGCAGGAACUUAAAUGUAGCGAUUCUUUAAGACUGGAGAGUUAUAUAAGAGUUUCCUUCUCAACUGAAAGAGGAAAGGUCUUUUAGCGGGUGGUGGGGAUAGUGAAAGGUGAACAAUUGCAGAACACAGUCAAUUUAAUUUAACAUGCAUGUCUCACAUCCUAUUCUGUGCAAAGUGCUAUAUUCUUAUGUGAGUAUGAAAGUGACUAUGACCUGCCCUUCCAGGUAGGGUGUUCCUUAACUCUUGGACAUAGGGAGAAAUACACUUGUAAUUUCUAACAAAGUCAGGCAGGUGCUAGUGAAGAGAGAUAACCAUAGCUCAAUCAUCUGGAGAACUGGGAAAGCAAAGGUUAAGUUUAACAAAAAUUAAUGUAUAUAUUCUGAUUUAGGUAAAUAUUAGGGUGUAUCCCUAUUUCUACCUGCUUCCUGUGCCUUCUCUACAAUGGGCUUUACUCUUUAAAUGUUUAAUUAAGAACAUGAGAAAGAAGUGAUAAGACUUGAUAAACAUAUACUGUAUGCAACCACCAUCACAAACACAGCAUAGAACAGUUCCCUCACCCCAAAAUGUCCCCAUGUGCCUAUUUGCAUUGCAGUCCAUACCCUCUCCUCACCCAUUGUCUACUGACAAUCACUUUUAUCACUAUAGUUUUGCCUUUUCUACAACUUCAAAUAAAUGGAAUUAUAGGUAGUCUUUUGUUUCUGGCUUUUUUCUUUCUUUUCUUUUCCUCCCCUCAAAAUCCCCCAGUACAUAAUUGUAUAUUCUAGUUGUAGGUCCUUCUGGUUCUGCUGUGUGGGACACUGCCUUAGCGUGGCUUGAUGAGCAGUACUAGGUCCAUACCCCGGAUCCGAACUGGUGAAACCCCGGGCUGCUGAAGCUGAGCACGGAAACUUAACCACUGGCCAUGGAGCCAGUCCCUGGAUUUUUCACUUAGCAUAAUGCUGUUGAGAUUCAUUCAUGUUGUGAGUAUCUGUAGUUUGAAUUAUUUUAUUGAUGAGUAGUGUUCUGUCGUAUGGAUAUACAAUUUCUUGGCCCAAUCACCAGAUGAUGGACACUUGGGUGCCUUCCACUUUUAGGCCACUGUGAAUAAGAUGCAAUAAAUAUCCAGUUCACAUUUACAUCUUUAUAUGGCCAUAGGUUUUCAUUUCUCUUGGGUCUAGGACUGAGACCUCUGGGUCAUAUGGUAGGUGCACGUUUAACUCUUUGAGAACUUGAUGAACUGUUUUACAAAAUGGCUGUAUCAUUUUGUACUGCUACCAGCAGUGUGUGAGUUCCUGCUGUUUUGCAUCCUUGGCAACAUUUCCUGUUGUUAGCCAUUCAUUUUAGCCAUUCUGUUGCAUGCAUGGUAGUAUCUUAUUGUGGUUUUAAUUUGCAUUUCUCUGAUAUGAAUGUCUUUUCAAGGGCUUGUUUGCUACCCACAUAUAUUCUUUGGUGAAGUGUCUGUUUAAAACAAAUGUAUACAAUAGAAAUUUGUGCUAGACACUUGCUGUGGACCGAUUGUGUCCCCCUCGAAUUCAUAUGUUGAAGUGCUAAGCCCCAGUGAAUCUGUAUUGGAGAUCGGCCCUAUAAGGAGGUAGUCAAGGUUAAAGAAGUCAUAGGGUUGGCCCUAAAAUGAGAGGAUUAGAGUCCUUAUAAGAAGAAACACCAGACAGAUCACUCUCUCCCCCUCUCCAUCACGUGAGGACAUGGUGAGAAGGCAGCCAUCUAUAAGCCAGGCACUGUGCCCUCACCAGAAACUGAAUUGCCUGACACCUUAAUCUUGGAUUUUCCAGCCUCUAGAACUACGAAUAAAUAAAUUUCUGAUGCUUAAGCCACUCCUUAGAGUAUUUUGUCACAGCAGCCUGAGCAGAAUGAUAUAACACUGGAGAAAUUUUGGAGUCUGAAUGCUAUAGAAACUUUUAAGAUAUUGGCAUAAAUAUUAGUGUUAAUCUGAAAAAGAUCCAGAAAUGAAUUCUGAUUCUUCCAAUUACAAGGCAUGUGAAUUUUGGCAAGUUACUUCAUUUAUCAGAGCCUCAGUUUCCUCAUCUGUACAAAUGCAAAUAUUAUAUCUGCUUCCUAGAUUUUCUGGAGAGAAUUAAAUAAAAAAUAUGUCUAGUACACCUAGUGUAGUACCUGGCAUGAGCUGGUGUUCAGUAGAGAACAUUAGGUUCCUCCCUUACCCUAAAACAGCAGUACCUAAACUAAACUCUGCUCCACUGCUUCCUGAAUGCUCUUGGAAUGACUCAGCAGAGAAAGGUUGUGGAUACCUUCAUGUGUAUUUUAUAUAAUAUCCCCAAGAGGUAAUACUGCCUGGGUAGGAGUGUUAGUUUAACCUUCAACCCCAAAUUUAAAAACGGCCUACUUACUUAAUUUUGAACUUACAUCUUCCAGAAGCAAUGAUAGCCACCUUUCCCCUCCCUCAUAGGAGAAAGGUAAAAUAAUUUCACUUAUUUCGUCAUCCAACAAAACUGGAAGGAAGUUUAUUUUUUCCAAUGUACAAAUGGGGAAAAUGAGGCUGAGAAUGGUUAAGGGAACUUCUCAAUGUCACAGAACUAAUAAAUGUCCUACAGGGGACUCAAGUCAGAGGCUGCUUGUUGACAAAGCCCCCAUUCCUUCCCCAGCACCACAGUGUUUGUUGUAAACCUUGAAGGCUGCUUCUGGAAAUGGCUGGAGAAGGAGGGCAAUGUUUCAUGCGUCAGGCCCACAGUCGUGUCCAGCGUGUUUCCUAAGGUGGAUUUUCCACUUGGUCCCUCCUUCCCUUCAGCAGGAAGAUGUGAAACAGCCACAAUUUAGCCCCAGGUGCUCUUGGCUCAGCAGAAGGAGUUCUUGGAAAGCUGGCAUGGAUGUUUCUCUGUCCCACACUUACAGUAAUUACAAAUAAGGGUUACUUUAUGUGGUUGCUCCCACCCUAUAAUCUUGUUUUCAGUUGCCAAGAUUAGUAAAUUUGAGCUUUGAUCACUGGGUUGGAUUGCAAGUCUAGAGUUAUUUUGAUCGUAACUUCUCUGAAUUUCAAAAUUAAUUUUAAAUAUUCAUUGUUGCCAUACAUCAGUUUCAGAAUUUGCUAGCCUGAUUUCAACUAUCCAUCCUCUAUCUCUUUCAGUGGACCUUUGGAAGCCUUUGUGAUUAAGAUCUUUAGUUUUGUUUUUCCUUUUGUUUUUUUUCCUUCUUUUUCUUCCUUCCUUCCUUCUUUCUUUCUUUCUUAUUUUCCUUCCUUCCUCCCUCCCUUUUUUUCUUUUUUUGAAGUCAAGCUGAAUUGAAUUAUGUAAAGACUUAAGAGGCAAUAUUUGCAAAUAGACCUAUAAUUAUCUUAAAAGUAAACGAAAAAGCUAUUUAUACCAGCAGUCACUGAAAUAUACAUGUUUAGAGUGGAAAACAUUAGUAAUAUGGAGAUGAUCCAUAAAAUAAGACGGCAUCUCCAGGUAUUAAGACAGAACUGUAUUAGCUAGAUUUUAAAAGAAAACUUUGAGAUUGAAGAUAUGUGAUAUUCAAUCCCUAUUAAAAGAGCUCUUAAAGUGAAUCCUUAAGCUAUCUUGUAUUUAUCAAGCUCAAAUAAACUGACCAUGGAUUUAACUCUGUGCUAUGGGGUUGCCAGACAAAUAAUCAAGACCUUAAGGCCUGUGAGAAUAAGAUGGUGGCUAGCUUAUCCUUGUUUCUCCAAAGGAUCUGGCACAGAAAAGAUACUUAGUAAAUAUCUGUUGAAUGAAGGCCAAGUUGGUUGCAAAGGUAAAAAUUACAUACGUGAAACGAAUCUUUUGGGACUUUGUGGUGUAUCAGUUAGAAAUGUGCUGGUUGCAGCAGCAGAAAAACCAACAAAAUAAAGUUGCUAAAACUAAAGGGAAUGCAUUGCUUCACAAAAGGCCCAUCCCUAUGGCCUUGUGGAUAAAACCCGGCAACUGGCUUAGCCCUAGUCUUGUGCUCCGACUCUUGAGCCAGCUUGUGGCAUCAAGUCCCCUAGAACAAGUUGGGGGAUGGAAAGAAGAAGGAAGUGUGCUGGAUGACAAAGACAAGAAAUCUCGAAGUGCAUGCCGGGGGUAUGUUGAGUGCUGCAAUUCUUCAAAGAGGCGGAGGGCAUCUGGGUGGAUGUGAUGAGAAUACUUUACAGAGAGGCCAUAUUUGUGUCUGGUACAUAGACUGAAUUUAUGUAAUUUUACAAUAAAGUAAGAUAAAGUUAUUUUGCAAGAACUUUGACAGAAACUUGGAAAAUCAAAAAAAGCAAAUAAAAAUUUUACUGUAAGGUACAUGUAACCACCACUGUUAUUUGACAUAUUUACUUGUACUUAAAAAUUCAUGCUAAUAUAUACAAGUAAAAUAACAUAUGUAAUGUGUGUAUGUAUAUGCAUAAACAUAUGCUUAUAUAAUUAGGAUCGUAACAUAAUUCUAUUUGUUUAUAUUACCUAAUUAGGAUCAAGGUAUAUAUACAUUUUUUGGUGCUACUUUUUCACUUAAUAUUAUAUUUAGGAAUUUUCUUAAUUCAUUGACAAUUCUUCUAAAAUUAUUUUUGAUUGUUGAAUUACAUAAUCUAUAGAAAUUAAGAAGUAGGGAGGAUAAGAGACGCAAAGAAAACUUAGGGCAUUUUCAUGGGAUAUUACAUAGUCUUGUGGAGAAAGAUAUAAUUUGGAGAGAUAGAAUGAACCCUAAAGUUAGGCAAAAAGAUAAAGUGGGUUCUUGAAAAUCAAGUAGAGAAGUUUAGAUUUGAUACUGUAGGAAAAGGAAAAUCUUCAAAGUUUUUUCCUCAGAGGUUCUUAUGAUUUGAGUUAAGCUAACAGUAGGUUAAUCAGCCAAAAUUAUUCAGGAUCAAUAUGAGGAAGCACAUAGAUUUUUUAUUUUGAGAUCAGAAAGAGAAGGGAAUUAAAGCAUGUUGCUUUCCCACUUUCCCACUGUGUGCCACGCACCAUGCUAGAUGUCCUAUGUAAGAAACACAACAUGUGUUCUCCCAUAGGAUGGGAGAAUUGAGCAAUGCUGUGUUCAAAUCCCGUAUCUGCCACAUCUAGUGUGAUCUAGGGUGUAGGACUUAACUUCUCUGAGCAUGAGUCUCUUCACUUGAAAACAGGGAUGGUAAAGCUUACGUCACAGAACUGUGGUGAAUUCUGAAUAGCAUAUGUAACAUGCUUUGUACAGCAUGCACAAAAAUAAUGCCUAUUUGUCUUCCUUUUCCUCCACAAAUGAUGAUGGGAUAUGACAGGAAAAAUGGUUCUCAAAGUUGGCUUCACAAUGGAAUUUGACUGGCUUUAAAACCCACUGAUGUCUGAGCCCCACAUCAGAGGUCUGUGGGAGUGUGGAAGACUUGAAAAUCUUCCCAGGUGAUUCUAAUGCGCAUUCAAGAUUGAGAAACUCUGGACCAAAAGUUCAAGGAAAGAACAAAUCCCACACAGUUUAUGUGGGGAGUUGCAGUGCACCCUGACCAAGGAGAAGGAUGACGGAAGGCCAAUGGUGGAUGUGUUCCCUAUCUGAGAACACCACAGAAGUGAUCUGGACAUCAUUACAUCCCACAGCAUCUCAGCGGCACUAUGAAGCUGUGUGAGUCAAGGCAGACAGAAUGCCUCACGCAGCGAUGGGCACCUGAAGUGACCCAGACAGCUUGAGGGUGAGAGAAGAGAGUGAAAAGGAAGCCGAAACAAGAGCACUAGGCCACCAUUUCUCUCUUAUGCCAUCUUGAUACUUGCCGCGAUGCUGAGGGAUGUGGAAGGAAAAUCAACCAACUGCAAUUCAAGAGACGGGGGUCGAGAUGUACAUGAUUCUACAGAAGUCAUCCAACAGUUCCGAGUUCUACUCUUCUAUGAACACGUGACUUCUAGCCAAUGGAAUGUUAGUGGAAGGAUGUGUCGGAUAAAAAUCUCUGAUGAGUGAUCCUCCAUGCUGAUUUCCCAAAUGCCAACCGAAUGUAGAGGUUUCCAAGGCCUAAGAGGAGGACAGAAUCACGCAAUAGGAGUCUGGACCCUCAAAUUGCCAUGAGGAAGGCUGUGUUCGAACCAAGAACACCUGUGUGGGACUUUACAGAAGUAAAAAUAAACUUUUUUGUAUGUUAAGUCACUGAAGUUUCAUGGUUUGUUUAUUACAGCACUUAGUAUUACCCUAAUUAAUGCGAGGAUCAAGUGGGGAAAAAAUGGAUUUAAAAACAUUAUGCAAACUCUAAAAUACUGUACAGAUUUAAGGGUUUUUACUGGCUUUGGUUGUGUAAAGUCUUGGGAGUAAGUGCUAAAGUUAUGUUGAAAUAAAAUACUAUUAACAGAUAUUUAUUCAAUGCUUACUAGAGGAUGCAAAUCUUAUGUAGCUUAUCUAAUUUGUUCCUCUUGGCCACCUUAAGUAGAUGUCUUUCUUUAUUGUCAUUUUUACAGUUGAAGAAAGUAAACUUCAGAGAAAUGAAGUCACUUACCUGAAAUCAUACAACUACCAAGGGCUGAGGGCUUUCAUUAAAGUUUUAUUUUUUUGUUUUCCAAAUCUACUUUUGCACCCUAUUAUAGUAUUCAAAAAUUUUAAACUUCUUCUAGAAGAAAGCCAGACUGUUUAUUCUACUCCCUCUAUACCAAAGGAACAGCAGAUAGAUGUGCACAUGGAACAUUCUGUUCAUUCCAAUAAGUCUGAAAAUCCUGAUGUUGGAGAUGACAUUCUUUGAAGUCGUUUUCCAAGUGUAGGCAGCUACUUUUCACUCAAAACUAUGCAGUUCAAGUAAUUGAGUUCUCAAUUUUCUUGCAUUAAAAGUAACCUAGGGCGGCCAAAACCUUGGGUAGAUGAAGGGUUUUCCCCCCUCUUCUGUUUUCCUCAAGCUUCAAAAAUGCACUUGCCAAAAUAAUGUGAUUUGAGCUGCUCUUUAAAUAUUUUUACCAGGUGAGGAAUUGCUGGUACAUUCCAUCUUGUCAGUAAUGAUUUCACAUUUGUCACUCUCAUCGGGUAGACUGUCCACGGACUGCGGACCAUUUUCACACUCAUUUUGGAUACUGUUUGGUGUUAUUUUCAUUCAAGGGCAGGCUUGGAACCAAGCAGAUUAUUUCAUAGACUUGGAAACUAUAGGGGGAUGUAACGAAUCUUAGCCUUGAUCUGGGGCAUUUCUGAUGCAAAGCUUUGUCUAUCAAAAAAAUCUGCUCAUUAUAUAACCAAAGAGUGAGGGGACUUGACCAUUUCCCUCUGGUUCAGAGACCCAAGCCUCAUCCCUUUGUCCACAGGUAGUUGUAGAUGCCUUCCUCUGACUUGAGAAUUCUGGCUUGCUUAAACUUUCUGCUGUUCAGAUAAAAAACAGCAGCAAUUUUCUGCUUGAAUUUCUCUGUGACUAAGUCCAUUGAUCAUCCUUUCUCUCUGUGAGUGAGAAGUGUGUUUUCUCCUUAAUAACUCCUAUCCUUCUCCCUGGAUUUUUUUUUUCCCCCUUCGCUUGUUUGUGUUGUGUUGGUCAGUCCUACGCGCUAUUCCUCUGAGAGACAGAGAGCGCGCAAAAUUGAAGUUAUUUUAUGCUUGGGCUCCCUCGGUCCCAAUUUUCAAAUCUUCAUGUCAAUUUUCACACAUCAGUGUCAUGUGGUGAAUGUUAUGGAAAUUUCAGUGGGGUCCUUGGGAGGAAAUUUAUACACGGAUCCCUCCCCCACAACACUAUCCGGCUGCAAUUCCUGUCUUUUCUAAGAAUAAGUGGAUCUAUAAUUAAUGUGGAUUUUAAAAUAUAACGGCAUUCAGAAUUCUCAUAGCAGGUUUUCGACGCCAUGUCUUCUUUGCAGUAUAAACACAAAAGCAUAAAUGCUUGCUAGCUCUCUCUCCUAAUAAAUGGGCUUGUGUAAAAGGAAUAAAAAUUACAGUUUGUUGGCUGUAAAGAGCAACUAAUUACUCAGGAAGAAGCAUGUUUUUAUUUUUCAAAACUGCACUGAAAAUGGUUUAUCAUGCAAUAAAUUUGCUAAUCACCAGUUAGGAAACACAGCGCCAUCACCACCUACCCACAGCGGCUUCCUUUGAAAGUUGGUAUGUUACAGUUUGGAUAGGAAAUUAUAUCCUUUUGAAAAUGAACAUGACAGAAGACGUUCACUGAAUAGCUUAAAACUCCUCAGCAGUCAGAAUUCAAACUGCAUAAACAAGAGUGUGGAUAUUGGUGCCAACAGACAGCAACUACUGACCUUGGAUUUGCUUGGUGAGCAGACCACCCAGGACCCCUUCUCAUGAAGACAGGUAUUCAUUUCCUUUUGCUCUUUCCCUUUUAACAGUGAAAGUGGAAGACCCCCAAAUGAAGAAUACAAGGUUGGCCUUAAUUUUUUCACUUUCCUUUUCUUCAGCCCCUCGCCAUCCUAUAAAUGUUAAUUUCUUAUAGAUUUGCCUUACAUUUUUCCAGAAGAACCUGGAGAACUGUCUUCUCAUCCAGAACUGUAGGAGUCCAGCUUGAUGAACUUGAAACCAUACAAACCAGUAACAGGAAUAUCUUAUCCCUGCUGCUGGCCCACUCUCUUGCUUCGAAGGUACUUGGCAAUGACUUUCGUAUUGUUCUCCCCAGAAAGGACAUCCAUGGACAUCCUCAUCAAUGAUCAUUGCUGUCUUCCCCUGUCUCCAUGUUUUUCUUGCCAUUACUCUGUCAUAUUUCCUUCUAAGACUUCUUAAUAUUAAAAAUUAUCUCAUUGAUUUGUGUGUUUAUUGACUUAUUAUCUGGUUCGCCACUGGCAGGUACCUUCAGUGAAAGAGGAAACCUUGUGUUCUUUUUGUUGUUGUUGUUGUUUUUUGAGGAAGAUUAGCCCUGAGCUAACUGCUGCCAAUCCUCUUCUUUUCGCUGAGGAAGGCUGGCCCUGAGCUAACAUCAAUGCCCAUCUUCCUCUACUUUAUAUGUGGGAUGCCUACCACAGCAUGGCGUGCCAAGCAAUGCUGUGUCCACACCCGUGAUAUGAACUGGCGAACCCCAGGCUGCUGAAGUGGAACGUGUGCACUUAACUGCUGUGCCACUGGGCUGCUCCCGAAACAUUCUGUUUUGAUCAGCUCAGUAUCACCAGAUCUUGGUCAGACGUCGGGCACAGAGUAAUUUUCAAUGUAUACUGAAGGGUUCAACAAAUGAAUGAAUGAAUGAAUGGACAUUUUGGUUUUUCAUCCCUACCUCAAAAAGCACAGCAUUCAUUAACCAUGAUGUAGCUGACUUGCCACCCCUCAAACAUAGGGGUAUCUAGAGGUAAGGCACCUUUGGGUUUAAAAGUUGGGAGGAGGUGUUUGUUUAAGCUUUCCUUUUGACUAGAAGGAAGGAACAGUAAAUUUUGUGGUCAACUUUCCUUUCUUUGGAGAAAAUGCAUUGUGUGGGAAGCUGGUUAUUAGGUCUGAUUGGUGGAAGGUCACCAGGUCACCAGCCCUGGCUUGCAAUGGCCUGGUGUCUAAGGAGAAGACACUCACAGGCCAGGAGACUCCAGUGGCAGCACUCCCACCGGUGGCCCCACACAAUGGAGUCUUGGAUCAGUACCUUUCUUAGAUGUACAACUGUGAGCAACUCACUCAAUUUCUUCAGUUCUCAGUUGUCUUGCCUGAAAAUCACCAUAUAACCCCCUACCUCACCUAGAGUUAUUAGAAUUAAAUAAAAACACGUGUCCAACACUAUUUUGUAAACUACUGAGGGCCAUACAAAUAUUUUGGCUGGUUUGAUAUAGAAGAAAUGGUCAAGGAUAUAUUAAAAAUGAAAAGACUGUUCUUUUGUGUGACAAUUUUUGUCCCGUCUGUACUAUAAGAAAGAUAGGUAAGAAAGUCACCAUUUUAUAGAUCAAUAAACUGAGGACUAGGGAAGCUGUGUCAUGCUUAGCAUCAUAGAUAAUACUGUCUAUCUUUGCAUCUGGAACAGGCCCCAGAUCUCUAGAUGAUUAGUGCGGUAAUUUUGUUUCUAGAUGGUUGCAGUAAUUUCUGGUUCUCUUUCCACAGGAGCUGUCGCUGGGGGCACUGGUUCAUCAGAGCAAUGCUGUGGUUGGGUCUUGGGCCUGAGAGUCGAUCAGCCAAGUUAACAGGUUUGGCUUGACAUGGCCGAGUCGGAGGACAAGCACACAUCUGAGUCCAGAAGAAAAGCAUCAAGAACAACUCUAAAUUCAAGGACAAACUUGGAUCAGGAAUGGCAAAUCAAGUCAAAUACUAGAGUCCGGAAGAAGGUAUUUUUAGAAAGAGAGGCAGACAGAAUAGCCAGGACAAUGCAAAGAGGGUCCAGAACUUUCCACAUCAAUAACCCUGAGAUGCCCCAACAUUGCGGUUGCGGGUAUGGUAGGCUAUAUAUUGAAUAAGUGGCCCAGGCUGAUCCAAAGGUAUGGGGCAGCAAUAGGAACUAUGCUUCUCCAUAGAUUCUUCCAUAAAGACAGGAGCCUUUUAUUAGUUUGAGGGGCUUCCUGUAGUAAAAGAGUUAUGGGAGAGGCAGUAGCAAAGACACACCCCUUGACCACAAUGUUGCCCCCACCCCAAAGGAAGACUUUCCUAGAGUGGAUUUGAUGUCUAUGGACAUAACCUGAAAAAGACAAAUCGUUUUGGGAAACACUAGUUUGAAGAAAAUUAGAUGCAGGAUUUCUCAGAGCCUUUAAUAGUUUAAUACUCAUUUAAUAAUAAUUGUGGCCAUUAAACAGGCUCCUUGAAUUUUGAAGAGUAGUUCACCGACGGAUUUCGCGAAGAGUGUGUGGUAUUUCCUAAAUGCACUUCAACACCAACACACAUAUUUUUCUAGAAUCUCUUGAUAGAGUAGUGUUCCACAGGAUGUAGUUUGCUCACGUUGGUCUAGGUAACCUGUUACACCGAUUUAGGUAACUUUUUUGUAUACGGUGAAUGAAGUCACACUGCAGUUAUUGUUUUUCCUUUUUAACUCAUUUCAUCAUUACCGUCAUUAGGCUGCAGUCCAUUUAACCCUUUGAUUCAUUGUUUCUCUGUGAAGUGUAGGCAGCUUCACGGCGACAGAAAAAAUAGGACAGAGAGAGAAUCAUGUCUCAGGGUCAAAGUAGGCGUAUUGAUCUACCUAGAGCUAUUCUGGAAUGUUUCUGUUUCCUGUUCUCAUUUACACUCAGAGAAGUCUUCACGGUCCAAUGGGUGAAACUCGGUUAAAAUGUGAUAGAUUCUUUUGAUUUUAUAGGAUCAAAGAGGCUUUCUACUCAUUAAACUUCUCACAGUAACAUUCUUUCUUAAGUCUGUUUUCAAAUUUAAGAGCUCAGGGGAAUGGAGUUUGCUGAAAGUCUAUCAUUUAGAGAAUAUCGAAGCUGCAUUACAUUAUGUCAAGUUCAGUCUUCCCAUUGCUCCAUUUUGAUUCUCCUCCUAUGUAAUUAUUGCUUGGAGAACAAGCAACUGACCUUUUCCUCCUUUCCUGUUUCAGCACAAAAAGAUGGAAUUAAUCCUUUUACAUGAAAUUAGAACUGUGAAUUCUAAGACCCUAAUCCAAAAUGUCCCUGUCUUGAUUAUGGUUUCUCACUGCAGUUUUCUCUUUUGUAGAAUGGAACGAAGUCUUCUUACCUGGAAAAAAUGGAUAAAAUGAAAAUAAAUAAACAACAUGUGGGCUUUCAUUUAUGUUUUCCUUUGUGUUCUGCAAAACUAAUGGAAACUUCAAAUGAAUGUUUUUCUCAGGUCAAUUAUCAGUAACAAUAAUGGGACACAGUAUAGUGUGAUAUUUAAGUGGAACACAUUCUAGAAUCUGAUUACCUGGGUCCGCACUGUGCCCCAGAAGAUUUUGCACAUGCAAAAUCGAACCUCUCUGGGCCUCAGUUUCCUUCUCUCUAAGAUGAGGUUGUAGUCAUAAUCCUUAUCUCCUAUUGUAAGAUUUAAAGAUAAUCCACAUAAAGCAAUUAGGGACAGUUAAGCACUCAACAAUAUUAGCUAUCAUCACUACCAUCUGUACUUUUAAGUUUCACUUACCAGUUUUUUCUACUAGAAGUUUACGAAAUCCAAACAUGUAGAAAUAUGUAGGUAGCCCCCUUGAGCAUUAAAAUACUUGUGUUGUUGUUGUUGUUGUUAGAGAACACAGACGUACAAAUGUAACAUUUUUUCCUCUAACCUAAUUAUCUGUUGACUCAAUAAAUGAAUUCAUCAAUUCAACCUCUUAUUUCAGAUCCUUUGCAAAGAGAAUAUCAUGUGCCUGUGCCCUAUGAACUUUUUCUUUCUUCUUUUGUUUUCUUCUCUGAUGAGCUACAAAUCAGGACAAAUGUAGUAGGUGUCAGAAAUAAUUUACCUACAUGUGUGUAAUGAGUUUGGACAAACGCAUGAGCAACAUAUCUCUUUCUUCCACAUGGGAGGACCAGCACCAGGUCCUUCUUUCCAGCUGGAAGGGCUCAUGAACUGCUAGCUUUGCGGGUUCAGCUUGACAUCUCCACUUCCAGGCCAGCUAGUAGUCAC